GUGGGGAAUAUUGGACAAUGGGCGCAAGCCUGAUCCAGCAAUGCCGCGUGAGUGAUGAAGGCCUUAGGGUUGUAAAGCUCUUUUACCAGGGAUGAUAAUGACAGUACCUGGAGAAUAAGCUCCGGCUAACUCCGUGCCAGCAGCCGCGGUAAUACGGAGGGAGCUAGCGUUGUUCGGAAUUACUGGGCGUAAAGCGCACGUAGGCGGCUACUCAAGUCAGAGGUGAAAGCCCGGGGCUCAACCCCGGAACUGCCUUUGAAACUAGGUAGCUAGAAUCUUGGAGAGGUCAGUGGAAUUCCGAGUGUAGAGGUGAAAUUCGUAGAUAUUCGGAAGAACACCAGUGGCGAAGGCGACUGACUGGACAAGUAUUGACGCUGAGGUGCGAAAGCGUGGGGAGCAAACAGGAUUAGAUACCCGUGUAGUCC
rnacentral:rRNA from 1 species